rnacentral:rRNA from 1 species
UGGACUUGACAUAUAGCUGCAUAUGACUCGAAAGAGACAUAGCCUUCGAGGGUGCUAUAC